GGCGGCAGGCCUAACACAUGCAAGUCGAACGGUAACAUUUCUAGCUUGCUAGAAGAUGACGAGUGGCGGACGGGUGAGUAAUGCUUGGGAACUUGCCUUUGCGAGGGGGAUAACAGUUGGAAACGACUGCUAAUACCGCAUAAUGUCUUCGGACCAAACGGGGCUUAGGCUCCGGCGCAAAGAGAGGCCCAAGUGAGAUUAGCUAGUUGGUAAGGUAACGGCUUACCAAGGCGACGAUCUCUAGCUGUUCUGAGAGGAAGAUCAGCCACACUGGGACUGAGACACGGCCCAGACUCCUACGGGAGGCAGCAGUGGGGAAUAUUGCACAAUGGGGGAAACCCUGAUGCAGCCAUGCCGCGUGUGUGAAGAAGGCCUUCGGGUUGUAAAGCACUUUCAGUUGUGAGGAAAAGUUAGUAGUUAAUACCUGCUAGCCGUGACGUUAACAACAGAAGAAGCACCGGCUAACUCCGUGCCAGCAGCCGCGGUAAUACGAAGGGUGCGAGCGUUAAUCGGAAUUACUGGGCGUAAAGCGCACGCAGGCGGUUUGUUAAGCUAGAUGUGAAAGCCCCGGGCUCAACCUGGGAUGGUCAUUUAGAACUGGCAGACUAGAGUCUUGGAGAGGGGAGUGGAAUUCCAGGUGUAGCGGUGAAAUGCGUAGAUAUCUGGAGGAACAUCAGUGGCGAAGGCGACUCCCUGGCCAAAGACUGACGCUCAUGUGCGAAAGUGUGGGUAGCGAACAGGAUUAGAUACCCUGGUAGUCCACACCGUAAACGCUGUCUACUAGCUGUGUGUGCCUUUAAGGCGUGCGUAGCGAAGCUAACGCGCUAAGUAGACCGCCUGGGGAGUACGGCCG
rnacentral:rRNA from 1 species